AACGAACGCUGGCGGCAGGCUUAACACAUGCAAGUCGAACGAUGUAGCAAUACAUAGUGGCGCACGGGUGAGUAACACGUGGGAACAUGCCUUUUAGUUCAGAAUAACACCGGGAAACUGGUGCUAAUACUGAAUACGCCCUCCGGGGGAAAGAUUUAUCGCUAAAAGAUUGGCCCGCGUUAGAUUAGGUAGUUGGUGGGGUAAUGGCCUACCAAGCCUACGAUCUAUAGCUGGUCUGAGAGGACGACCAGCCACACUGGAACUGAGACACGGUCCAGACUCCUACGGGAGGCAGCAGUGGGGAAUAUUGGACAAUGGGGGAAACCCUGAUCCAGCCAUGCCGCGUGAGUGAUGAAGGCCUUAGGGUUGUAAAGCUCUUUUGUCAGGGAAGAUGAUGACGGUACCUGAAGAAUAAGCACCGGCUAACUUCGUGCCAGCCGCCGCCGUAA
rnacentral:rRNA from 1 species